GCAGCGGACUGGAGGUUUCCUGGUCUGGGAAGGACGCGGUCCCCGAGCGCACCCAUCCCUGACGGUUUUCGCCAGCCCCGGGGGGUUGGAGUCUCUGCGGAGUAAGCCCCUGUCUUCUCGUGGGCAGGGCCUCAGGGAGGGGGCGACAUUCUGGACUAGCCUAGGUCCAUGCCUCUGGCCAAGAGAGGCGGGCUGCAGGCUUGCCAGUUCAGGGAACGCUUGGAAGGCACCCCAGGGUCGCCCAAGUGCGCCCUAUCUGUAAAACGUAGAAAGGCAAACGGCACGAGGAGUGGAGCCAAAUGGGGAAGAAGAGGAGUCUAAAAGGCUCUGGAGGCCCGGGUACGGCUCUGCGGCUUGCUGCUGCCCCCCCAGUGAAGGCCGAACAGAAGACACCUGCUGGUGGGCGCGGCUGGGCACGGCUGGGCGCAGGCGACACUCACCACCAGAGGGCCACACACAGCACCCCGGGCGCCGUGAGCGCCAGCAGCAGCAUCCGCCAGUCUCGGAUGAAGUAAGCAAACAGCGGCAGCAGCAUGUAGCCAAACGCGUAAAAUAUGCACACUCCUAGCGUGGAGAAUAGAAUACGAACCGGCUUGCCAAGAAUUUCUGUUCCUGUUCGAAAACAAGGGAGGAGGCAUGUUAGUCCUUUCGUUUAGGUCAUUUCCUCACUCAUCUUCUCUUGUAUGAUUCUCAACAUACAGGAAAGGGAGCAGCCCCGCCCUAGGGAGGGAUGGGAUUCUGAACCUGCUGCAGGCUGAACACCUGCUGGGGGUGCCCCCCUGGGACCUCUUAGGCUUCCCAGGGACGGUUCCGCCUUGCAAAUUUCAUCACUUUCCCCAAGCCAUAUGCUAAAGAUGCCAUGUGAGGCCUCAAAGUGUAAUCCUCACGUGAGGAAGAAUUUAUGAAAGGGGAAGCCAUCAUGAAGGACACACAUGCGGGCUCAAGGAAAUAUUCUUUUAAAAAGAUUAUUCUACUGGAUGUGAAGAGAAAGAAAUAGUCCUUUCAACAUACAACCCAAGGAACCCAAAGACCAAUAAGCUAGAGUGAGACUCCUCCAAACAGUGAGACUGGUGACUGUUGAGUGAGAAUAAGCCAAAGCCCCACAGUGUGUACUCGGAAUUAAAACUCUUAAGGUCUUGAGACUCAAGUCCAUUCGUAUCAAUUCAUUCUUGCCAGUUUCAGAGAACACAAUGCUUUGCAGAAGAGGCAGCUUUCUUCCUUGACGAGCCUGCCAUUCGUGGUCCCUGUUCCUCAUAUCAUGUCUUUAUCUUUCCUUAACAACCUCAGCCCUGGGAAGGUCCUGUUUUUUCAUUGAUGAUCUUGGGUGAAUUCUAGUAAAAUGGCUAUUGAAUACUAACGGGACCAGAAAAGAUCUGGAACUCAGGCUGUUGUGCUCCUGGGGACUCAAGGCUGGGCAAACUGGGUUCACCACACAGCCCUGGUUGGUGUUGCUAACGACCACUUCCCCUUGAGGGAUACCACGGCCAUCUCUAGAGAGUGGAUGGUGGGGUGACGGUGAAACACAGGAUCAAGUACUCAACUCCAACUUGUUGGCCAUACCCAGGACAAAUGCUGCCACGUAGUUGGAGAUCUGGCCCAUGCCCACAAGGACAAACAGCACAGUAAACAUCUCAAAGUUCUUCGAGAAGACCUGCAGAAAGCUGAAGCCCGUCUGCAUGCCCAUGGUCACAAAGAGCACGUUCUUCCGACCAAACCUGGGAAGGAAAAGAGAGUGACAGAGAUCCAGCUGGGAGAAGGUGGCAGAAAUGGGCCCCACCAAGAGGGAUUUUCCCCAGAGCCAUCCAGGGAGGAGUCAUGGACGAUGCUGCCAGGGCACAUGGCACGGACAGUACCCGUCCCCAGUACUGGGCCUGUUACUCGCCCCCCCACCCUGCCAUCCCCAGGAUCAGUGUGCAGCCCAGGCACUAGGAUGCCCUCAUGACAGUGCCAGAAUUACGAUAAUGACUGCAAGGCAUCGAAAUGCAUUCACUAUACUUAAAUCCAUAUAUUCAUAAUGGUUUUUUUUUUUAAAGGACUGGUUUAUUUUGGAGGAUGAUAAAGAAACAAGUCAUUUUAAAUGAAGACUGGUAAAUAGAGGGAAAGAAACACUUGUCCUGAAAUUCCUAUGUAAAGUAUCUGAACAGGAACCAAUAAUGGAUGAGGGAAAAUAUCAUUUUAUAAAAGUAUUCCAACUAUUAAAUGAAAAAGAAGUGAUAAAAUUAGAAUAUCAACAUUUUAUAUUCCUCAAUAAAUGGGCAUUAUGUUGGGGCAUUAUGUUUCAGUGAUUGCUAACAGUCUUUUCUUGAAGAGACAACUGAAUUAACAUGAUUCCUAGUCUUGCUAAGGGGUAUGAGCCUGGAUCUGAUGAAAUCUCCAGAUCCAGCCACCAAUUUGCAGGAAACGAAGAGAAAGGAGGAAGAUACUGAACUGCACCAUGAGUAUGCAACCAGCAAAAUCCAGCCUGGGAAAUUCUGCAGUGGAACAGCCCUGGGUGCAAAAGAUAAAGUGUCUGGCAAAGAAAAGGAUGGAGGAAGAAUCCCUUCAUCAAUCCCACAAAAACUUAUCAAAAAUUUUUAAGUGGGCAAGACUAAACUUGUGUUUAAAGAUACACAUCUGGAUAAUAAAGCUGCAAAAACCCCACAAGUGAUUACUGUAACAGCCAGGUGCUACGAAGAAAAGGCACAAGGAAGCAGGGCAAUAUAAACCGGGGACCCUGAGUUGGCCUUCACGGUCAAGGAAGGUCACGGGAGUGGUUGGGGAAUGCCGGGAAGAGCACACACAAGCGCGGCUGGAGGGGGCAUGAAGACAUGCGCAGAUAGCAGCCGGCAUCACUGGCGUCAGGCGUUCAACAUGAGACCGCAGGGGUUGGGUGGGGACCAAGCUGCAGAAGGCCCUGUUGCCAUGUUAAAGAGUCUGGUGCUUCUCUCCCCUGAAACAGGUUUUUCGCUUGUUUUUGGUGCUACUAGCAUCUAGCAGGUAGAGGCUGGAGAUGUUCUAAACAUCCUAAAAUGUCCAGGAUAGCGUCCCGUAACACAGAAUUCUCUGGCUCAAAAUGUCCACGGUGCCAAGGCCGAGCAACCCUGUCCAGAAAGAGACCAAGUUGCCCUGCAUUAUUCUAUAACAAGCACGCCCAACACGCCAGCCAAGGGAAGGUCCCUUCCCACAGGGGAGACAGGCGUGACCGCUCCCCAUGCCUUCCCUUCCCACGGGCUCCCUGGGAUGGACGGUAAGGAAGAGAAAGACCCAGCAAAUCCUUACAGAGCACAGUCCUUAGCAACCCAGUCUGGGGUUGGGCUCAGAAAUGCUCACUUUUAAAGUCUGUCAACAAAAUGUCAACCACACAUGUGCUUACAAAAACAGUAAGUACCAGUCUACCUCUUCCCAGGGCUGUGCUCCUCUUGUAAUUCAUGCACAAAACGGCAAUUCAGUAAGGUCAGAUAAAAUGUGGUGACCGCCCAGGAUUAUUUUCACCGCUCUUGAAUUUCAGGCUUAUUGAUCUUUGCCCUAAACGAAAAGUGACUGUGGAUAUCCCAGACAAGCUGAGGUAUGAAUCUACUGCUGAGGUCAUUUGUUUGGCCUAGGUUUUUGAGCCAGCUUACUUAGAAAUAAUGAGAUCAGAAACUGUCCAUCCCACGGAGCCCGGCGCCUUCCAAGGGGGUGUCGCCAAGCUUGUGGGGUGAUGCUGGGAGCUGAAGGGAGGGCCUCAGCCAGAACAGCCACACUUUUAGCUACUUCAUUUACUUGACUUAGAUGCCCUACUUAAAAGAAGUCUGCGGGCGCCUGGGUGGCUCAGUUGGUUAAGCGACUGCCUUCGGCUCAGGUCAUGAUCCUGGAGUCCUGGGAUCGAGUCCCGCAUCGGGCUCCCUGCUCAGCAGGGGGUCUGCUUCUCCCUCUGCCCUCUUCCCUCUCGUGCUCUCAUUCUCUCUCUCUCAAAUAAAUAAAUAAUAUCUUUAAAAAAAAAAAAAAGAAGUCUGCUGAUGAGAUUUCUAGAGGGUUUGUAAAACACUGUACUUGUCCUUCAGAAGACUAAGGUGGUCCUCAACAUACUCAUUAAUUUUGCUUCUAGUGUUUCCCUGGGAUCAGAUCUGUGGAAAUGAAACACUUUCCUCAUACAAUCACCGUGUUCAUGGUAAUCAGGUUCUCAGGCUAGCCCACGAAGGUCUGCUUAACCCAUGACAGAGGUGACCCAGAAAAAUGCACUGAGUUUCAACUUUGAACUUGGGGCACCUCCUCCUUGAUUUUCACAUCAAGGAAAUUCCUCUUUCAGCUGCCACUCAACCCUGUGACAGGGAUCUCCCAGCAGCCCACCUGGAAGGUCUCAAAGCUCCAUCCUGGGCAGCCCCUCUUCCCAUUCUACACUCGCUCUGGGCAAUCUCUUCCACGCUCCGGAUGCUUUGUUGAGGGUCCUAUGGAGCUGACAAUUCCCAAAUGUAUUUCUCCAGCCUACACCUUUCAUGGAACACCAGGGCCACACAUCCAACUGCAGGCUCACUUCAUCCAUUUAGGACUCUUAGUCACCCCAAAUUCAGUACAUUCAAACUGAGCUCUGCAUCUUCUCCUACAAACAUGAUCUUCUUCCAGAGUUCCUUGUCUUAGAGAAUGGCAUCGUCAUCAGCUCCGCUGUAUAGGCCCAAAAUUUCCCCUCACUUCCCACAUCCAACCCACAGCCAAGUCCUGUUGGUUGGAUCUCCUACCUCUCUUCUCCAUUUCUACCACUGUCAGCCUAGUCCAAACCAUCAUCAUUUCCCACAUAAAUUAUUGUGACAGCCUCUUAAUUGGUCUCUCCACAACCCCUCUUUCUCCCUUUUAAUCCUUUCUCUGCAAAGUUAUCAGAUAAUCAUUAAAAAUAUAUAAAUCUGAUUACGCUGUACUCCUGCUUUAUAAAACUCUCAGUAGCUCCCCACUGCUCUGUGACUAAACCACAGACUCCUACGUAUCAUCAGCUAAGCCUGGCCUGCUCUUCUGCUUGGGCCUCCACCUGCCUCACC